rnacentral:rRNA from 1 species
GAUGAACGCUGGCGGCGUGCCUAACACAUGCAAGUCGAACGAAGAAAUUGUAGCAAUACGGUUUCUUAGUGGCGGACGGGUGAGUAACACGUAGGUGACCUGCCCCGAAGUGUGGAAUAACAGUCCGAAAGGAUUGCUAAUACCGCAUGUGGUCUGUGAGGUUAGAGUCUUGCAGACUAAAGCAGUAAUGUGCUUCGGGAGGGGCCUGCGCCCCAUCAGCUAGUUGGUAGGGUAAUGGCCUACCAAGGCAACAACGGGUAGGGGGCCUGAGAGGGUGACCCCCCACAUUGGCACUGACACACGGGCCAAACUCCUACGGGAGGCAGCAGUGAGGAAUAUUGCUCAAUGGGCGAAAGCCUGAAGCAGCAACGCCGCGUGCGCGAUGAAGGCCUUCGGGUCGUAAAGCGCUUUUGAGAGGGACGAGAUAGGACGGUACCUCUGGAAUAAGUCACGGCUAACUACGUGCCAGCAGCCGCCGUAAGAC